CUUUCAAACUUAGGGACAUAUACACAGUGAUGUGUAAAUACAUACACUGACCCAUGUCUGGUCACUCACCUAAGACUAUUUCAACAUAGGUCAAAGCACCUUAGUUAAAAAGAACCUUCUGCCAUACUUUUCCUGGCAUCUGGAAAGUCAGUACUGCUUAAUUUACAGGUCCAGUAUUUUCAGCAACAUUGCAAGAAUCAUCUAACAAAGGUUUUGACAUUUCAUUACACCAGGCCAUGGUUUAUUUGGGCAGACAAGAAUGUAAAGCUCUGUGUUCCAGUCUGCGUGCCCUUGUCCAAGGGAAGCAUCCAUGUCUUCUGGCCUCCUGGCACUUUCUCCCCCAGCGUCAUCCACUUCCCACCAUUCCAGCAUUUAAAAUCACACCUGUCAGCCACUUGCAACCUAAAAUAAGGUGGAGAACACAAAUGGGCACAUAUGUACAUACACAUUUACAUAUACCUGUCUGAAAUUGGAUCAGAAAACCAUAGUAUCAACUGAAAUGUAAAUUGAGCUCCACUGCUAAUAACAGUGGCUCAAGACUGAUGUGUUAUUUAGACAAGAAAGCAUCAGCAAGUGAUAGAAGAAUGAUGUGUUUAUAAUUGCAGAAACCAGUAUUUCAUAUUUUUGAUGGUAUUGUGCUUUGUGUGGAAUGUACUUCCACAAUGAUCCAGGUACAGUACUGGUAAGUGACUGCACAAUAUAAAAUUCAAACAUAGAUAAUAAAAUGUAACACUUAUGUAUGCAGAAAUCAUUGCCUGUACCAGCUGUUGUAUCUGAACUGAGAAGGACAGUCUUUUCUUGACUGACUUGUAUCACUUCCUGUGUGACCAGAUGUAGCUCAUAAUCACAUUAUGCAAGCUGCUCUAAUAUAGAGCCAAGAUUUUCAGUUCAUUUUCUCAUCUCCCUGUAGUUUACUACUGGAAACAGUUUGUGGUCUUACUCAGUUGUUAUGUUCAGUUGUUUACUAUAAUUUGCUGAACAUGGAUGUAUAAAGUAGUCUAUGGGACCUGUUUGAAAUAUACUGGUUGAUGGGAUUUCAUUCGUGGGCUAAAAAUUUUGUCUGAGACUUUAUGGUGUGAUCAGUAAAGCUUGUAAAAAUUUUAAAUGAACAAAAGCAAAUUUACACACCCUGUAGGUAUAUAUGGGUAGAUCUUUACAUUUGACCCAAGGUUUGUAGAUUGGAAGGUUGGGAUGAGGCAUUCCUGUUGAACUCUUGAAAAGGAUAUUCUACCUGAUUUGCUUCAGUAAAAUAUCUUGCAGUGCAAAUAACUGAUACGUGAAAUGCAUGUAUUGAAGUAUCCCUUAUAGGAGUCUGCCAGAACGAGGAUCCAUAUAAAGAUACUUGUUCAGUGUUUCACACUUGUACAUAGAUUUAAUGUAAAUAGAAUUAUUUCUGAUACACAUGUAUUUCUGUUGAAAAACCCAUGUGCAUUCUUCUUGGGUACUUUUUAUUUUGCGUUGCUUAAAAAUGUAUCAGUCCAUGUGAAUAAAGACAUUAUAAAAUCA